rnacentral:rRNA from 1 species
AUGAACGCUGGCGGCGUGCCUAAUACAUGCCAGUCGAGCGAACAGACGAGGAGCUUGCUCCUCUGACGUUAACGGCGGACGGGUGAGUAACACGUGGAUAACCUACCUAUAAGACUGGGAUAACUUCGGGAAACCGGAGCUAAUACCGGAUAAUAUAUUGAACCGCAUGGUUCAAUAGUGAAAGACGGUUUUGCUGUCACUUAUAGAUGGAUCCGCGCCGCAUUAGCUAGUUGGUAAGGUAACGGCUUACCAAGGCAACGAUGCGUAGCCGACCUGAGAGGGUGAUCGGCCACACUGGAACUGAGACACGGUCCAGACUCCUACGGGAGGCAGCAGUAGGGAAUCUUCCGCAAUGGGCGAAAGCCUGACGGAGCAACGCCGCGUGAGUGAUGAAGGUCUUCGGAUCGUAAAACUCUGUUAUUAGGGAAGAACAAAUGUGUAAGUAACUAUGCACGUCUUGACGGUACCUAAUCAGAAAGCCACGGCUAACUACGUG